CAGCAGCCGCGGUAACACGUAGGGUGCAAGCGUUAAUCGGAAUUACUGGGCGUAAAGCGUGCGCAGGCGGUUAUAUAAGACAGAUGUGAAAUCCCCGGGCUCAACCUGGGAACUGCAUUUGUGACUGUAUAGCUAGAGUACGGCAGAGGGGGAUGGAAUUCCGCGUGUAGCAGUGAAAUGCGUAGAUAUGCGGAGGAACACCGAUGGCGAAGGCAAUCCCCUGGGCCUGUACUGACGCUCAUGCACGAAAGCGUGGGGAGCAAACAGGAUUAGAUACCCGCGUAGUCCCUGUCUCUUAUAA
rnacentral:rRNA from 1 species